AGAGUUUGAUCAUGGCUCAGGAUGAACGCUGGCGGUAUGCUUAACACAUGCAAGUCGAACGGAACUCUUCGGAGUUUAGUGGCGGGCGGGUGAGUAACGAGUGAGAAACUGAACAGAGGUUGGGGACAACCACUGGAAACGGUGGCUAAGACCGAAUAAGCCGAGAGGUGAAAGAGAGAUUGCAUAAGGAGGAGCUCGCGUCUGAUUAGCUAGGUGGUGGGGUAAAGGCCUACCAAAGACCCGAUCAGUAACUGGUCUGAGAGGAUGGUCAGUCACACUGGGAAUGAGACACGGACCAGAGUCCUACGGGAGGCAGCAGUGGGGAAUGUUCCGCAAUGGGCGAAAGCCUGACGGAGCAAUACCGCGUGAGGGAGGAAGGCUCUUGGGUCGUAAACCUCUUUUCUCAGGGACGAAAUAAAUGACGGUACCUGAGGAAUGAGCAUCGGCUAACUCCGUGCCAGCCGCCGCGGUAAUUC
rnacentral:rRNA from 1 species